rnacentral:lncRNA from 1 species
UCAAUAAAAUAUUCUAUUUUCUUAUAAAACAAUAUUUAUAGAGUUACCGGUAAAUAAUUUUUGUAGCGUAAAAGCUAAAUAAAUUCAUACAUACUGUAAUACAGAUAACCAAAGCAUAAGAUUUAAUUUACAGUGACACAUGGGCCCAUGAACGACCAAAAGUAUCAAAAAAGUAAACCUACAGUUUUUAAGGAUGCAAGUCCAACUGUAGCCCUCAACAAAGUGAGCUAUCUACCGACUAUCCUGAGCCUGAAAGAGGUGGAAAUGAGGGUGGUGAGAUUAUAUAAUCCUAGUGAGUAAACAAAUACCAUCUAAAAUAUCUAAAACUAAGUAAAUGGAGACAGAUAAAAUAGUUUAGCAUACUGUAAUUCAUCACCUUUCAACUCAUUUCAACCAAAUAAAAUCAAUUCAUAUAAAUCGAGUAAUCAACAUGGCUUAUGAAUUUCUUAAAACUUUGGCUCGUGCCAAAAUUAUUCUCAUACUCAGUUAUCAAGGAUACCUUGGCUAAGGGCUAUCCCAACCGAGUCCACCAAGGCUGUUAAAAAGUUAUGUAUGCAUAAAUCAUGUUUUUAUUUUGAAAACAUAGCCGUUCCUUGGCGUUGGCUGAGUUCACCCUCACGUGGUGGUUUGGCGUGAAGUGAACUCUAAAGUGUUAACCUCAAAAGUUAUACAUCCGCGCCUUUCAUACUGAGGUAUGAAUUUAAUAGGGUUACCGUGCCCCUCUAAUAGGCUGGUCCACGGAGCCCGUCCACUACAGCGACCAAUAUAUAACCCACCAAUUCAAUAAAAUUCAACAGCAUGACAUGGUAAUUAUUUUAUUUUACAGCCUCUCAAGGCAAAUCAACAGUUCAUACUUUUUUAGCACAUUUACCAAAUCCAGCCAUUCAUGCCAAUAUUAUCAUAAGCCAUUUAAUUCAAACCAUGAUUUAUAACACAGCAAUUAGUCUCCAAUUACUCUAUUUUCAAAACCAUAUUUCAAUUUCAAGACAAUUUUAUAAAAUCAUUUCAUUUAAUCACAUUUUGCUUAUAAAACAUAAAGAUUUGCCAUUUAAACUCAUUUUCCAUAAAAUCACAAAAACGAAUUUAAAAUUCACUUCAGAUAAUCAAGAUGAUGAUAAGGUAACUCACUAUUUCGGGAGUCGAAUUUCGAGUACUCCGAUUCUUGAUCAUCGGGUACUAUCUCUUUACUUUUGCCAGAAUGCUCACCACCUAGACAUCAUGCACAAUAAGCCAUUUACUACAUUUGUGCUAAAUUGUUAUAAAACCAAUUCAGGCUCUACACUAAUGCAUGAAAUGAGAUGU